UACGUAGGGUGCGAGCGUUGCCCGGAUUUAUUGGGCGUAAAGGGCGCGUAGGCGGUCCCGCACGUCCGUUGUGAAAUCGCUCGGCUCAACUGGGCGGGGUCAGCGGAUACGGCGUGGCUGGAGCAAGGUAGGGGGCAAUGGAAUUCCCGGUGUAGUGGUGAAAUGCGCAGAUAUCGGGAGGAACACCGGUGGCGAAGGCGGUUCUCUGGGCCUUACCUGACGCUGAGGAGCGAAAGCGUGGGGAGCGAACAGG
rnacentral:rRNA from 1 species